AAGAAAUUGUAUCACUGCAAGAAGAAAAUAGAUAAUGAGGACCAUCUAUGCCAUCUUGGACUCACUCUGUUCUUCCUGACACAACUACAGUGAGAUGAAGGAAAGAGACAGGAUCAUCUUCAAGGAAGCACCAAGGGAGGUGUUCAUGAGCAGAUGCCAUCAGAAUGGAUCCAAAUGCAAGCAUGCCAGGAGGAUGAGCCUUGUUUUCCCUCCAGUAGAAAGAAGAAGAAACUUUGCAACUUAGAAGAAACAUUCUGCAGCUUAGAAAAACAGAAAUGUAAGGGCAUGCAGCUAUGAAAUACAAGCAUACUUCCAUAAUACUGUGCAUUAAAUUCUAGACCACCAAAAUACAAGAAUAUUGCAAUAAGGCCAGUCACACUAAUUUGUUGGUUUUCCAGUACAUAUAAAAGUUAUGUUGAUACUAAACUGUGGUCUAUUAAGUGUGCAAUAGCACUAUGUCUUAAAAAAAGAUAUACAUACUUUAAUUGAAAAUACUUUAUUACCAAAAAAUGCUAAUGAUCAUCUGAGCUUUCAAUGAGUCAUAAUCUUUUUGUUGGUGUAGGGUCUUGCUUCAAUGUUGAUGGCUGCUGACUGAUCAGGCUGGUGGUUGAUGAAGGUUGGGUGGCUGUGGCAAUUUCUUAAAAUAAGACAGCAAUCAAUUUUGUGCAUUGAUGAACUCUUCCUUUCACAAAAGACCUCUCUGUAGCAUGUGAUGCUGUCUGACAGCAUUUUACCCCCAGUAGAACUUUCAAAACUGGAGUCAGUCCUCUCAAACCGUGCCACUACUUUAUUAACUAAGUUUAUGAAAUGUUCUGAAUCCUUUGUUGUCAUUUCAACAAUGUUCACAACUUCUUUACCAGGAGUAGUUUCCAUCUGAAGAAAUUAUUUGCUCAUCUGUAAGAAGCACUUCCUCAUUUCUUAAAAACAUCAUCAUAAGAUGACAGCAAUUCAGUCUCAUCUUCAGGCUCUACUUCUAAUUAUAAUUCUCAUUCUAUUUCCACCACAUCUCCGGCUAUUUCCUCCACUGAGGUCUUGAACCCCUCCAAGUCAUCAGGAGGUUUGGAGUCAAAUUCUUUUACACUCCUGUUAUUGUUGGUGUUUUUUUUUUAACCUCCUUCCAUGAAUCACUUCUUAGUGGUAUCUAAAAUGGUGAAUCCUUUCCAGAAAGUUUUCAAUUUACUUUGCUCAGGUACAUCAGAGAAAUCACUGUCUAUGGCAGCUGUAGCCUUAUGAAAAGUAUUUUAUAAAUAAUGAGACUUGGAUGUCAAAAUUACUUCUUGAUCCAUGUGUUGUAAAAUGAAUGUUGUAUUGGCGGGCAUGAAAACAGCAUAGAUUUCCUUGUACAUUUCCAUCAAAGCUCUUAGGUAACUACUCUUAGGUAACUAGAUGCAUUGUCAAUGAGCAGUACUAUUUUUUAAAAACGAUUUUUUUCUGAGCAAUAGGUCUCAUUCAUUUUUUAUGGCUGAGUAGUAUUCCAUAGUGUGUGUGUGUGUGUGUGUGUGUAUAUUAUAUAUAUAUAUAUAUAUAUAUAUACACAAAUGUUCUUUAUCCACUCAUUCAUCGAUGGGCAUUUAGACUGGUUCCAUAUUUUUGUAAUUGCAAAUUGUGCUGCUAUAAACAUGCAUGUGCAAGUGUCUUUUUCAUAUAAUGACUUCUUUUCCUCUGGGUAGAUACCCGGGAGUGGGAUUGCUGGAU
rnacentral:lncRNA from 1 species